rfam:Triticum aestivum genome assembly, contig: Triticum_aestivum_CS42_TGACv1_scaffold_130732_2BL
UAUAUACUCCCUCUGCCCGAAAAUACUUGUCAUCAAAAUGAAUAAAAAAGAAUGUAUCUAGGUAUAUUUUAGUUCUAGAUACAUUUCUUUUUAUUCAUUUUGAUGAUAAAUAUUUUCGGAGCGGAGGGAGUAUAUU